rnacentral:rRNA from 1 species
GACGAACGCUGGCGGCGUGCUUAACACAUGCAAGUCGAACGGAAAGACCCUGCUUUUGUGGGGUGCUCGAGUGGCGAACGGGUGAGUAACACGUGAGUAACCUGCCCUUGACUUUGGGAUAACUUCAGGAAACUGGGGCUAAUACCGGAUAGGAGCUCCUGCUGCAUGGUGGGGGUUGGAAAGUUUCGGCGGUUGGGGAUGGACUCGCGGCUUAUCAGCUUGUUGGUGGGGUAGUGGCUUACCAAGGCUUUGACGGGUAGCCGGCCUGAGAGGGUGACCGGCCACAUUGGGACUGAGAUACGGCCCAGACUCCUACGGGAGGCAGCAGUGGGGAAUAUUGCACAAUGGGCGGAAGCCGGAUGCAGCAACGCCGCGUGCGGGAGGACGGCCUUCGGGUUGUAAACCGCUUUCGCCUGUGACGAAGCGUGAGUGACGGUAAUGGGUAAAGAAGCACCGGCUAACUACGU